GACAGAGGAUGCAAACGUUGCUCGGAAUCACUGGGCGUAAAGGGCGUGUAGGCGGGACGGUAAGUCGGGCGUGAAAUCCCUAGGCUCAACCUAGGAACUGCACUCGAAACUACCAUUCUUGAGUGUCGGAGAGGAAAGCGGAAUUCCUGGUGUAGAGGUGAAAUUCGUAGAUAUCAGGAGGAACACCAGUGGCGAAGGCGGCUUUCUGGACGAUAACUGACGCUGAGACGCGAAAGCGUGGGGAGCAAACAGG
rnacentral:rRNA from 1 species